UACAGAGGUCCCGAGCGUUGUUCGGAUUCACUGGGCGUAAAGGGCGCGUAGGUGGCUUGGCAAGUUUGGCGUGAAAUCUCCGGGCUUAACCCGGAAAUGGCGUUGAAUACUGUUUGAGCUGGAGGUUUGGAGGGGGGACUGGAAUUCUUGGUGUAGCGGUGAAAUGCGUUGAUAUCAGGAGGAACACCCAUGGCGAAGGCAGCUAACUGGGCAUUAUCUGACGCUGAGGCGCGAAAGCGUGGGUAGCAAACAGG
rnacentral:rRNA from 1 species